rnacentral:rRNA from 1 species
AGUGAACGCUGGCGGUAGGCCUAACACAUGCAAGUCGAACGGCAGCACAGUAAGAGCUUGCUCUUACGGGUGGCGAGUGGCGGACGGGUGAGGAAUACAUCGGAAUCUACUUUUUCGUGGGGGAUAACGUAGGGAAACUUACGCUAAUACCGCAUACGACCUACGGGUGAAAGCAGGGGAUCUUCGGGCCUUGCGCGAUUGAAUGAGCCGAUGUCGGAUUAGCUAGUUGGCGGGGUAAAGGCCCACCAAGGCGACGAUCCGUAGCUGGUCUGAGAGGAUGAUCAGCCACACUGGAACUGAGACACGGUCCAGACUCCUACGGGAGGCAGCAGUGGGGAUUAUUGGACAAUGGGCGCAAGCCUGAUCCAGCCAUACCGCGUGGGUGAAGAAGGCCUUCGGGUUGUAAAGCCCUUUUGUUGGGAAAGAAAAGCAGCAGGUUAAUACCCCGCUGUUCUGACGGUACCCAAAGAAUAAGCACCGGCUAACUUCGUG